UACGUAUGGCGCAAGCGUUAUCCGGAUUCACUGGGCGUAAAGGGAGCGCGGGCGGCGCGCUAAGUCCGGCGUGAAAGCCCGGGGCUCAACCCCGGGACUGCGCUGGAAACUGGCGGGCUGGAGUCCCGGAGAGGCAGGCGGAAUUCCUGGUGUAGCGGUGAAAUGCGUAGAUAUCAGGAGGAACACCGGUGGCGAAGGCGGCCUGCUGGACGGGUACUGACGCUGAGGCUCGAAAGCGUGGGGAGCGAACAGG
rnacentral:rRNA from 1 species